rnacentral:rRNA from 1 species
AUUGAACGCUGGCGGCAGGCCUAACACAUGCAAGUCGAGCGGAUGAAGGGAGCUUGCUCCUGGAUUCAGCGGCGGACGGGUGAGUAAUGCCUAGGAAUCUGCCUGGUCGUGGGGGAUAACGUCCGGAAACGGGCGCUAAUACCGCAUACGUCCUGAGGGAGAAAGUGGGGGAUCUUCGGCCCUCACGCUAUCAGAUGAGCCUAGGUCGGAUUAGCUAGUUGGUGGGGUAAAGGCCUACCAAGGCGACGAUCCGUAACUGGUCUGAGAGGAUGAUCAGUCACACUGGAACUGAGACACGGUCCAGACUCCUACGGGAGGCAGCAGUGGGGAAUAUUGGACAAUGGGCGAAAGCCUGAUCCAGCCAUGCCGCGUGUGUGAAGAAGGUCUUCGGAUUGUAAAGCACUUUAAGUUGGGAGGAAGGGCAGUAAGUUAAUACCUUGCUGUUUUGACGUUACCAACAGAAUAAGCACCGGCUAACUUCGUG